AGUGAACGCUGGCGGUAGGCCUAACACAUGCAAGUCGAACGGCAGCACAGUAAGAGCUUGCUCUUACGGGUGGCGAGUGGCGGACGGGUGAGGAAUACAUCGGAAUCUACUUUUUCGUGGGGGAUAACGUAGGGAAACUUACGCUAAUACCGCAUACGACCUACGGGUGAAAGCAGGGGAUCUUCGGACCUUGCGCGAUUGAAUGAGCCGAUGUCGGAUUAGCUAGUUGGCGGGGUAAAGGCCCACCAAGGCGACGAUCCGUAGCUGGUCUGAGAGGAUGAUCAGCCACACUGGAACUGAGACACGGUCCAGACUCCUACGGGAGGCAGCAGUGGGGAAUAUUGGACAAUGGGCGCAAGCCUGAUCCAGCCAUACCGCGUGGGUGAAGAAGGCCUUCGGGUUGUAAAGCCAUUUUGUUGGGAAAGAAAAGCAGCAGGUUAAUACCCCGCUGUUAUGACGGUACCCAAAGAAUAAGCACCGGCUAACUUCGUG
rnacentral:rRNA from 1 species